rnacentral:rRNA from 1 species
GAUGAACGCUGGCGGCGUGCCUAAUACAUGCAAGUCGAGCGAACAGAUAAGGAGCUUGCUCCUUUGACGUUAGCGGCGGACGGGUGAGUAACACGUGGGUAACCUACCUAUAAGACUGGAAUAACUCCGGGAAACCGGGGCUAAUGCCGGAUAACAUUUAGAACCGCAUGGUUCUAAAGUGAAAGAUGGUUUUGCUAUCACUUAUAGAUGGACCCGCGCCGUAUUAGCUAGUUGGUAAGGUAACGGCUUACCAAGGCAACGAUACGUAGCCGACCUGAGAGGGUGAUCGGCCACACUGGUACUGAGACACGGUCCAGACUCCUACGGGAGGCAGCAGUAGGGAAUCUUCCGCAAUGGGCGAAAGCCUGACGGAGCAACGCCGCGUGAGUGAUGAAGGUCUUCGGAUCGUAAAACUCUGUUAUUAGGGAAGAACAAAUGUGUAAGUAACUGUGCACGUCUUGACGGUACCUAAUCAGAAAGCCACGGCUAACUACGUG